rnacentral:tmRNA from 1 species
GGGGGCGAAACGGCUUCGACGGGGAUCAUGAAGCUCCGGCUGCAUACCGAGCAACUGUCAGCUCGUAAAAAAGACGGAAAAUUAAAAUAAUCGCAGAUGAUUAUAAUUACGCUUUAGCCGCUUAGGCUAACGUCCUUCCGGGUUUUUCCUGCGGAUUCGGAAAGGGCGUCGACUUGCAGGAUAGUUUGCCAUGUAUGUCUGUAACAUGUCAGGCGAAAUUUAACAGAAUACGUUUUUAGGAAUCCCGCCCGGAGGAGACUUGAAAAUCGACAAUUAAAAUUCGGGAUAAGUAUGUAGAUGCCUGUGUGGACUAUUUUCGGACGCGGGUUCGACUCCCGCCGCCUCCACCA